rnacentral:rRNA from 1 species
GGAUCAUUGUCGAAACCUGCM